rnacentral:rRNA from 1 species
UACGUAGGGUGCAAGCGUUAGUCGGAAUUACUGGGCGUAAAGCGUGCGCAGGCGGUUGUGCAAGACAGAUGUGAAAUCCCCCGGGCUCAACCUGGGAACUGCAUUUGUGACUGCACGGCUGGAGUGCGGCAGGAGGGGGAUGGAAUUCCGCGUGUAGCAGUGAAAUGCGUAGAUAUGCGGAGGAACACCGAUGGCGAAGGCAAUCCCCUGGGCCUGCACUGACGCUCAUGCACGAAAGCGUGGGGAGCAAACAGG